UGCAGUCGAGGGGCAGCAUAUUGAUAACUUGUUAUUAAUGAUGGCGACCGGCGCACGGGUGCGUAACGCGUAUACAACCUACCUAUAACAGGGGAAUAAUCCGAAGAAAUUUGGUCUAAUACCCCGUAAUACUAAUGAAGGCAUCUUUGUUAGUUGAAAGAUUUAUCGGUUAUAGAUGGGUAUGCGUGACAUUAGUUAGAUGGUGAGGUAACGGCUCACCAUGACUACGAUGUCUAGGGGAACUGAGAGGUUAAUCCCCCACACUGGUACUGAGACACGGACCAGACUCCUACGGGAGGCAACAGUGAGGAAUAUUGGUCAAUGGAAGGAAUUCUGAACCAGCCAUGCCGCGUGCAGGAUUAAGGCUCUAUGAGUUGUAAACUGCUUUUGUAAGGGGGUAAAAGAGAUUACGUGUAGUCUAUUGAAAGUACCUUACGAAUAAGGAUCGGCUAACUCCGUGCCAGCAGCCGCGGUAAUACGGAGGAUCCGAGCGUUAUCCGGAUUUAUUGGGUUUAAAGGGUGCGUAGGUUGUAUGAUAAGUUAGCGGUGAAAUACCGUAGCUCAACUAUGGGGCUGCCGCUAAUACUGUCAAACUAGAGAUUGGUUGCAGCAGGCGGAAUGUGUAGUGUAGCGGUGAAAUGCUUAGAUAUUACACAGAACACCGAUUGCGAAGGCAGCUUGCUAAGCCAUAUCUGACACUGANGCACGAAAGCGUGGGUAGCGAACAGGANUAGAUACCCUGGUAGUCCACGCANUAAACGAUGAUAACUCGUUGUNNNCGAUAUACAGUCUGUAACCAAGCGAAAGCGAUAAGUUAUCCACNNGGGGAGUACGUUCGCAAGAAUGAAACUCAAA
rnacentral:rRNA from 1 species